rnacentral:rRNA from 1 species
AGGACGAACGCUGGCGGCGUGCUUAACACAUGCAAGUCGAACGGGGGUAGCAAUACCCCAGUGGCGAACGGGUGCGUAACACGUGAGGAACAUUCCUUCCGGUGGGGGAUAGCCGGCCUAACGGCCGGGUAAUACCGCAUACGCUGUCCGGGGUGCAUACCCUGGAUCGGAAAGCAGCAAUGCGCCGGAAAGGUGCCUCGCGGCCUAUCAGCUAGUUGGUGAGGUAAUGGCUCACCAAGGCGACGACGGGUAGC